AUUUGUUGUUGUCUGUGGUGGUUAUUAGCAGAAUGCAUCUUUUCACAUCAAACAAGAGAGAGGAAUUGCUGAAAAAGAUGAUGGAAUCUUCUUUCAAUAACGUUGACGUUACGAUAAAUGGUGAGAACAAGGGUUUCCCAAUGGUAAAUCGAUGCUUCGAAUCUUACCAUAACCGUUUUUUCAUU